GUGCGACAACCAUAAAAAGGCCAUAAUUUUGUGUGCCAAAAGAUGAGAGCUCUUCACCAUGAGAUACCAGAGAGAAAGAGGAUCAAAAAUACUUCUUUGGGAUGUGAGGAUUGGGUGGGUUUCCUUCCUCCUUGGCAUGAACAAAAGAGGAGAUCGUUCUCCUCUUGGGUGAGAGACCUAGAACUAUUCUAGAUUUUUGGGUGAGGGAAAAACCAAAGAGA
rnacentral:lncRNA from 1 species